UACGUAGGGCGCAAGCGUUGUCCGGAAUUAUUGGGCGUAAAGAGCUCGUAGGCGGUCUGUUACGUCCGCUGUGAAAACCCAGGGCUUAACCCUGGGCUUGCAGUGGAUACGGGCAGACUAGAGGCAGGUAGGGGAGAAUGGAAUUCCCGGUGUAGCGGUGAAAUGCGCAGAUAUCGGGAGGAACACCGGUGGCGAAGGCGGUUAACUGGCCCAACAUUGACGCUGAGACCCGAAAGCAUGGGGAUCAAACAGG
rnacentral:rRNA from 1 species